UGUACCCACUCAUUGUCGGGAGGCGUCUGGCACAGCCUAAACUUUCAAAACGCAGCAUAAUUUGUACUCAAAAUGAGUAAGAACUUUAAGCAAAAAUAUGGACCGGAGUUGGAAGCCCAGCCGGACAGAAAUGCAUUUCUUUGCAGGAGUAAAAAUUCAGCGGGUGCACAUUGCAAGGCUUGCAAAAUAGACUUCAAGAGUCGCAUUGCCUCAAAAACAUAAAGACAAAAUUAAACUCUUGUGGCCCAUCUAAGGUAUUUAAACAAUUAUUUUGUCUGAUCUCUAUGUUAAAAUUCUCGUUUUUCAUUUAAAGAUUGAUUUGUUUGUGGAGGACAGAAGCAAAACUGUUGGCGCCAAAGAAGAAGAGCAGAACUUAUGUUUGUAGCUUAUUUGUUUUCAAUUGAUUUGAGUAGCGAGAAAGCAGAGGACUUGUUCGAAUCUUUAAAUAAUGGAAUAAAAUAAUUUGAUUUCGGUAUGGGAAAUAUAGGGUUUGCUGCUGACACCACAAAUGUCAUGUUUGGUGAGCAUAACAGCAUAGUGUCUAAGAUAAAAAAGGCAAAUGAUUCGGUACUUUUUGUAAAGUGUGUUUGUCACUCAGCAGCUCUAGAUUCAGGCUAUGCUUGUAAAAUGCUUCCAAGAAGUCUAGAGCAAACGAUUAAAGAUACAUUCAAUUAAUUUUCUAAGAGCUCAAAGCGACACUGAAAAUUUAAACUGUUUCACAAAUUGUUAAGUUCUCCAGAGCACCAAAUACUUAACCAUUAUGAAAUUCGUUGGUUGUCCCUGCAUUCUUGUAUUGCGCGUAUGCUUUAGCAGUGGGAUGCUCUUGUCCUUUUUUUUUUUUUGAGGAUGAAUGGAC
rnacentral:lncRNA from 1 species